CAAUGGACUUAAUGGAGGCAGUCACUGUACUAAGCCCGCCUCGGUUAACAAAGAAAAUAAAAUAAAAAAAUCUAGAUCCUAGAGCCUGGAGCCACCGUCGUCUAGGCCGUCCUUUCCAUGGUCCGUAUUAGCUCCCAUCGACAUCACAAGGUCGCUCAUGCGCCACUGUCCUCCUGCUUGCUGCCGCAGUCGUCCUCGCUCGUGCUAGUUCUUAGGGUUCCGCUCGCCGCCGCCGUCGUCUAUGCGGCUCCUGCCAGCACCAUAUCUGCAAAAGGGGAGAGGGAAGAGUGAGUGAGGGAAAUAAAAAGAGAAAGAUAGAGAGAGAUGGGGAGACUGUACCUGCCCUAUCGGCAAUGCCGGUGCUGUCCUUCGCUAGAUCUGGCUGGCCUCCAUCAAAUCCGGCUGCCCUCCACCAGAUCCGCCUCGUCUCCUCCUCGCCUCUUUCUUUGUUGCC
rnacentral:lncRNA from 1 species